CAAAAAGGCCGGUGGAAUGUCUGCAUACAUAAAGACGUGUUUGCAGGGUAGGAAAGACACCUGAGAUGCUCCGCACUCACACGAUGGCCCUCUGAGAUCCACAGAGUAAAAGAUGUGAGGUUGCUGACUCCUGACUAAACAUGUACUAUCAUCUCUGUCCAUGAUAUCCUGGGCGCCGAAAUGGGAAGCAGAACUGGUGCCCUUCAAACAGUGCAGAACCACAUUUCUUGGCUGGUUUUGUAGGAAGACUGCCAUCAGAUCAGUGCCACAUGAUGACAGUUUGCCAGUACCGAAGCCACUACAGGCAUGGAGCCUAGAAGAGGCAGAUGAAGAUGCCCCAAUGCAUGAACCAGAUGUGGAAAAUGACACUGAUCCAGGUGUUGAACCCUUUAUGCCUGGUUAUCCUCAUCUGAUAACACAGUCAGAAUUAAAUGACCAGGUCAGGGUCUUACAUUUGUCAA